rnacentral:rRNA from 1 species
GUGGGGAAUUUUGGACAAUGGGGGCAACCCUGAUCCAGCCAUGCCGCGUGCGGGAAGAAGGCCUUCGGGUUGUAAAGCUCUGUGGGGAGGGAAGAAAAAGCGGGAGAGUAACUGCUCUCGUGUUGACGGUACCUCCUUAGCAAGCACCGGCUAACUCUGUGCCAGCAGCCGCGGUAAUACAGAGGGUGCAAACGUUGCUCGGAAUUACUGGGCGUAAAGCGCGUGUAGGCUGACAUGCAAGUCGGGUGUGAAAUCCCAGGGCUCAACCUUGGAACUGCACUCGAAACUGCACGUCUUGAGUACUGGAGAGGGAAGCGGAAUUCCGGGUGUAGAGGUGAAAUUCGUAGAUAUCCGGAGGAACACCAGUGGCGAAGGCGGCUUCCUGGACAGUAACUGACGCUGAGACGCGAAAGCGUGGGGAGCAAACAGGAUUAGAAACCCUGGUAGUAC